rnacentral:sRNA from 1 species
GGGUGUGUGAGAGAUGGAAGGGGUGUAUGCAAUUGAAGUGGGUGCCAAGAGAGUCCCCUUGCUGCUGGUGGGGGAGUAUUUAUACUCCCACCCACCAAAACUAGCUGUUGGGGGCGAAAUCCCCCAAUUUUGUGUACUGCCGGUCUGACCGGAGGUGUGUGGCCGGUCAGACCGUUCUACUCUACAACGGCUAGUUUUCUAGCCGGCCUGACAUUGGGCUCCAACUGCCUGGCCGGUCAGACCGACAUAGGGUGGCCGAUCAGACCGGCCUCGGCUCGGUCAGACCGCCCCCAGCUCGGUCUGACCGAAUACAGCUCCGGUGGCUCUAGAUCGGCCACUCCAGAGCACGCCUCUCGACUACCAGGGGGCCGGUCAGAUCGGCCUAUAGCCGGCGGUCAGACCAGCCUCUAACCGCCGGUCAGACCGGCAUACAAGCCUUGGUCUGACCGGUCCUGGUCAGUCCACACAGAGACAACAAGCAUUAAGGUGAUGUGAAAUUUGAGUCUAAAUGCGAACACAAGUCUAAAUGCAUAGUGACCUAAUGUGGCAAUUUAAAUCAUCUCUUUGCUAGGUCAUUAACCUUUUUUUAGAGUGUCUAUUUAACUUUCAUGUUUCUUCCCUGAGCGCAGAUGAAAACAGCCGCAGAUAUGUGCGUUAUGUUCGAUUUGAAGCACGGUAAGUGAGCAGAAACGGACAAAGAUUCGUUUAGUUUGGCGUUUGACAUGUGGAAGAAAAAUUCAUGAGGCUUGAUGCACCGAGGGCAUAUAAACCUAAUGUAAGAUUUUGACAUUUCUUUGACCUGGUUGAGGGCAUGCAGACAUUAACGGCGUGAAAGAAAAAAGAUCUGGUGUAUCGAGAAAAACAGGGUUGCCAUGUUUUUCCUACAGUGAUGAAUUUGCGUGAUCUUUGUUUCUUUAUCAGGUUGAUGUUUGUUAGCAGUACUUUUAGCUGGCUGUGUGAAUACAUUUCUCACCUCUGAAAAUUUGGAGGGCAUGAAUCCGGAGCCAUCAUUUAGCAUUUUACUCCGUUGUAAAUUUGUUUACACUAAUCUCCAAUGAAAUGUAUUUACAUUGUCUC